UUACACAUAUAUAUCAACUACACACAGCAAUAAUUAUUAUAUAAUUAAUAUUAUAAUUAUAUUAAUAAUAUAUAAGGUCAUCUCAAGAUCUCAUGCCUCAACUCACGCCGUCACAUUGGAAUCGUGGAGGGAAGAAAGAAAGAAAAAAACGAAAACGACGCGCGAACCGUUCGAUUGUUUAGGCCGAGCCGCCGCCUCCAGAGGGCGUGGCGAGCGCGACCCCACCCGCCGCCGAGCGUCGUCAGUCGGUCACCAGCGGGCGACGCGCUAGCAACAGCAGCUGCGCGCAGACCAACCGGAAAAUCGCGCCCACCUCGUUAAAAAUAGAGCCUCCGCUAAUCGCACGCGCGAGAGGGGGAACGACGCGACGCGGGGGGGGUCGCAUAAAAUCACACACAGAUUGGGAGAAGGGGGAGGGAGGGGGUCCCCAAAAGCACAGGAGGGGGAAGGAAUAUAUGAAAUAAGGAGAAGCAGGGGAGGGGUGGGGAUGGUUGAGACAUUCGACGAGAGAGCAAAUCGUUCUACUUUUUUUAAAACGUUACCGUCCGAAUAAAACGAGGCGGCGUCGGCGAUGCUGCCCGACGUUAUAGGUGGCGCCGGCGAUGCAGCCCGACGCCAUAGGUGGCGCCGGCGACGCUGCCCGACAUUAUAGGUGGCGCCAACAACACAGCGACAUUACAGGGGGCGCUUACGUCACCUGAAAGUACAGGUGGCGCUAGCAACAUCACCCGACACGACAUGUGGCGCUAGCGACAUCACCCGACAUUACAGGUGGAGCUAGCGACAUAACCCGACAUGACAGGUGGCUCUAGCGACAUCACCCGACAGGACAGGUGGCGCCUGUGGCACUGGUGACAGUAGGUGGCGCCGGCAGCGUCGAGCGACACUGUAGGUGGCGCCGGCGCGGGGAGGACGAGACACGACAAUGACGAACGACAGGAAGCACAAAGAAGCCCAACGAUAAAUACGCCGCCCAC